rnacentral:SRP_RNA from 1 species
GCUGGGCAUGGUGGCACCUGCCUAUAAUCCCUGCUAUUGGGGUUGCUGAGGCUGCUGUAUUGCUGGAGCUCAGGAUCUCUGAGAUGUAGUGUGCUAAGCCAAUCAAGUGUCCACACUAAAUCUGGCUCCAAUAUGGUGAGCCUCCAGUACCUAGAAACCACCAGGCUGCUUAAGGAGGGAAGAACUGCCCCAGGUUGGAAACUGAGGAGGUCACAGCUCCUGUGCUGAUCGGUAGUGGAACUGAGCCUAUAAAUGGCCACUGCACUUUUAUCAUGGCUGAGAUAAAGGGAAAGCAGUCAC